UACGAAGGGGGCUAGCGUUGUUCGGAAUUACUGGGCGUAAAGCGCACGUAGGCGGGUCGUUAAGUCAGGGGUGAAAUCCCGGAGCUCAACUCCGGAACUGCCUUUGAUACUGGCGACCUCGAGAUCGAGAGAGGUGAGUGGAAUUCCGAGUGUAGAGGUGAAAUUCGUAGAUAUUCGGAAGAACACCAGUGGCGAAGGCGGCUCACUGGCUCGAUACUGACGCUGAGGUGCGAAAGCGUGGGGAGCAAACAGG
rnacentral:rRNA from 1 species